rnacentral:rRNA from 1 species
UGCAACUCGCCUGCAUGAAGUCGGAAUUGCUAGUAAUCGUAGGUCAGCAUACUACGGUGGAUACGUUCCCGGGCCUUGUACACACCGCCCGUCAAACCAUGAGAGUUGGCAACACCCGAAGUCGGUAGUCUAACCGCAAGGAGGACGCCGCCGAAGGUGGGGUUGAUGAUUAGGGUUAAGUCGUAACAAGGUAUC